GAUGAACGCUGGCGGCGUGCCUAAUACAUGCAAGUAGAACGCUGAAGCUUGGUGCUUGCACCGAGCGGAUGAGUUGCGAACGGGUGAGUAACGCGUAGGUAACCUGCCUCUUAGCGGGGGAUAACUAUUGGAAACGAUAGCUAAUACCGCAUAAAAGACGAUAUCGCAUGAUAUUGAUUUGAAAGGUGCAAUUGCAUCACUAAGAGAUGGACCUGCGUUGUAUUAGCUAGUUGGUGAGGUAACGGCUCACCAAGGCGACGAUACAUAGCCGACCUGAGAGGGUGAUCGGCCACACUGGGACUGAGACACGGCCCAGACUCCUACGGGAGGCAGCAGUAGGGAAUCUUCGGCAAUGGGGGCAACCCUGACCGAGCAACGCCGCGUGAGUGAAGAAGGUUUUCGGAUCGUAAAGCUCUGUUGUAAGAGAAGAACGAGUGUGAGAGUGGAAAGUGGGGGGCUGUGACGGUAACUUACCAGAAAGGGACGGCUAACUACGUGCCAGCAGCCGCGGUAAUACGUAGGUCCCGAGCGUUAUCCGGAUUUAUUGGGCGUAAAGCGAGCGCAGGCGGUUAGAUAAGUCUGAAGUUAAAGGCUGUGGCUUAACCAUAGUACGCUUUGGAAACUGUUUAACUUGAGUGCAGAAGGGGAGAGUGGAAUUCCAUGUGUAGCGGUGAAAUGCGUAGAUAUAUGGAGGAACACCGGUGGCGAAAGCGGCUCUCUGGUCUGUAACUGACGCUGAGGCUCGAAAGCGUGGGGAGCAACAGG
rnacentral:rRNA from 1 species